GAGUUUGAUUAUGGCUCAGGAUGAACGCUAGCGGCAGGCCUAACACAUGCAAGUCGAGGGGUAGAGUGCUUCGGCACUUGAGACCGGCGUACGGGUGCGUAACGCGUGUACAAUCUACCUUUUGCUAAGGGAUAGCCCGAAGAAAUUUGGAUUAAUACCUUAUAGUAUUAUUUGGUGGCAUCAUUAAAUAAUUAAAGCUACGGUGGCAAAAGAUGAGUACGCGUCCCAUUAGCUAGUUGGAGUGGUAACGGCACACCAAGGCUACGAUGGGUAGGGGUUCUGAGAGGGAUGUCCCCCACACUGGUACUGAGACACGGACCAGACUCCUACGGGAGGCAGCAGUGAGGAAUAUUGGACAAUGGUCGGAAGACUGAUCCAGCCAUGCCGCGUGCAGGAUGACGGCCUUAUGGGUUGUAAACUGCUUUUGUAUGGGAAGAAUAAGGUCUACGUGUAGAUGA
rnacentral:rRNA from 1 species